UGGGCUCGGGGCCCCGGCCUGGCAGCUGCUGCACAGCCACGGGGCACCUCAGGGGUGGCCGUGUCCUGUGGCCGGGCCAGCCGCUGGCUCCGGGGGUGGGACCCGCAUGGGUUUCCCGGAGCCCUGCCCCUCGAGCUCUGAGUGAGGACUACAGAGGAGUCUCUGUGGGGGCCAGAAGCUGUGAUGCUGUGGUUCUUGCCCCUAGGUACCAGGGCUCCAUGGAGAAAUGGCUGAUCUGUAGGCUGAAAAGGGAAAUAAUAAGCCUGGAGCAUCUUGAUGUUCCAGAAAAUAAGAAAGUGGUCAAGGAAUAAUGGAGACACAGCUAAAGGAUACAGAAACCAGAUUAAAGAGAUUCCCACUCACUUUACUGGGACAAUUUGAUAUCAAAAUAAAUAAUGAUAGCCAUGGAUUCUAACUCAA